AGAUUGAACGCUGGCGGCAGGCCUAACACAUGCAAGUCGAGCGGUAGAGAGGUGCUUGCACCUCUUGAGAGCGGCGGACGGGUGAGUAAUGCCUAGGAAUCUGCCUAGUGGUGGGGGAUAACGUUCGGAAACGGACGCUAAUACCGCAUACGUCCUACGGGAGAAAGCGGGGGACCUUCGGGCCUCGCGCCAUUAGAUGAGCCUAGGUCGGAUUAGCUAGUUGGUGAGGUAAUGGCCCACCAAGGCGACGAUCCGUAACUGGUCUGAGAGGAUGAUCAGUCACACUGGAACUGAGACACGGUCCAGACUCCGUACGGGAGCAGCGAGGUAGGGAAUAGUGGAACAAGU
rnacentral:rRNA from 1 species